GUUCGUUCAGUUCUGUACAUUUUGGGAAAUUCAUUAAGUCAUAAAACUUCAAUGUGUUUGUUCUAUUUCUAUUGUAAAAUGCAAUACAUUGUUUUCUACAAUUAUCGAAAGCUGAACAAUUAAAAAUGUAAUGGUAUUCAUCACCAAUGGCAUCUGAAUAACACAAUACACAUUUUCUGUUUUCUCUUUCUAUGUUUUGCCAUCUUCCAGUUUCUAUUGGAGAUUUCA
rnacentral:lncRNA from 1 species